UGCCGCGUGUGUGAAGAAGGCCUUCGGGUUGUAAAGCACUUUCAGUUGUGAGGAAAAGUUAGUAGUUAAUACCUGCUAGCCGUGACGUUAACAACAGAAGAAGCACCGGCUAACUCCGUGCCAGCAGCCGCGGUAAUACGGAGGGUGCGAGCGUUAAUCGGAAUUACUGGGCGUAAAGCGCACGCAGGCGGUUUGUUAAGCUAGAUGUGAAAGCCCCGGGCUCAACCUGGGAUGGUCAUUUAGAACUGGCAGACUAGAGUCUUGGAGAGGGGAGUGGAAUUCCAGGUGUAGCGGUGAAAUGCGUAGAUAUCUGGAGGAACAUCAGUGGCGAAGGCGACUCCCUGGCCAAAGACUGACGCUCAUGUGCGAAAGUGUGGGUAGCGAACAGGAUUAGAUACCCUGGUAGUCCACACCGUAAACGCUGUCUACUAGCUGUUUGUGACUUUAAGUCGUGAGUAGCGAAGCUAACGCGCUAAGUAGACCGCCUGGGGAGUACGGCCGCAAGGUUAAAACUCA
rnacentral:rRNA from 1 species